rnacentral:rRNA from 1 species
UACGAAGGGGGCUAGCGUUGCUCGGAAUUACUGGGCGUAAAGCGCACGUAGGCGGAUUGUUAAGUCGGGGGUGAAAUCCUGGAGCUCAACUCCAGAACUGCCUUUGAUACUGGGGAUCUCGAGUCCGGGAGAGGUGAGUGGAACUGCGAGUGUAGAGGUGAAAUUCGUAGAUAUUCGCAAGAACACCAGUGGCGAAGGCGGCUCACUGGCCCGGUACUGACGCUGAGGUGCGAAAGCGUGGGGAGCAAACAGG